rnacentral:miRNA from 1 species
UGUGUGUAUCUGUGUCUGU